CAGUCCGCAGCGCACGCGAUAAUGAGGUCAAAUCCCGAACUUUAUGUGCACGGGCUACGUCACGAAUCGGCCACGAGACUUACACGUGUUAUUGCGAGAGUUUGGCAGCUUAUUUUCCAUGAACUACAUGUUGCAAAUGAAGUAGCGGGUCUCCAAGAUGGCGUGGAACCUGUUCCAGCCAGUUCAAUGCCUCGGUCAUCAGUUGUCGUUGACAGUUUCAUCGCCUCCAACACAGGAACUGUCACGUUCACUUCAGUGGCUUGGUUGGCAUGGUCCUCAUUUUAUGUCGUUGACAUUGACAAUCUAUCAUCUCUCACACAAGAAUGUUUUCUGAGACUCAGAUUCAUGCAGUAUUAAGUUCCUGUGUGCAGAUUUUAUGAUUUUUGUACUUCAGUGUAAAGGCCGGUUCAUAUACUUGGAAAUUUCUCAAGACUACGAAUGGAAAGCGACAUUGACAUCGUGAAACCUUCGCUUCAAAUCUGCCGGAAUUGAAACAUGCUUAACUUUUGUGAAAUUGCAGUGCCGUGACGUCAACAAUUUGAAUUUGCAUUCGCAGAGUAUGAUCCGGCCUUUAUAUGUACUGCGUUGUGCAAACAACAUCAUCACCAUUUGUUGUUGCCAUGUUAAACACGGUUUAUUUAAGUCAUGCCACAGAUACCAUGCCAAAGACACCAACCAAAGAUUAUCUAAAAUGUACUACAUGUAAACAUUGCUUCAUGUACAUAAUCGUGAUUAGUGACACUAUGCCAAAACUGUGGUUAUUGUUAUCAUCUUCACUUCACUGUAAAUUGUUUAAAUUGAACAGGUUACUACCAGAUUUUAGCAGUUUUUAGAUUGUAGGAGAGUUGAUGAUAUUUUUGCUUUUGAUUUUUGUUGACGUUUAUUUCUUAUCCAAAGACAGAUGUUGUCAGACAUGUAUGCCAAAACUCAUUUUAAAAAAUGCUUUCCCUUCCUUAUGCAAGCUGAUUUUUAUUCUGGCUGGAAACAUGGGUAUUAUUAACACAUGUAUUUGCAAUUUGUGAUGUGAGAUGUCAUGAAAAGAAGCUAUCUGAGUUUUCUAUAAGUGUUUCAAAGCAAGGAUGUGAUGGUGUAACAAUAUUAUACAAAACUGAUCUAGUAUGUUAAUGCUUGCAAGAACAUGUACAUGUAAGUUUGUUUAUUUUUCUUUUUUUUUAUUAUAAAAAUCUUUGGACAAUAAUUUAAAAUCUAUUUAAAAAUAAAAGUAAAGUGUCCUGGUCAAGACAAACGUUUGUAGGAAUUGUCAUCAAAGAUGAGUCAGCCCAAUUAAAAAUUAAAAUUUAGAAUAAAAAAAACAACAGGCAUUUUAUAUGAAAAUAUACAGUUCUUAUAUAAAACAGUUCAUAAAAUAAAUUCAAAGUUUAUAGGAUUUUUAUAAGUUGUGUUUUGAAAAUUGUCUUCAAUAAAUACAGAAAACAAAUAUCCCUAAAUAA